UGAGGUCCUGGAGAAGUGGGUGGCCCUGCCGGGGGCCUUCAUGCUGGGGUGAGUAGAGAGCGGCCUGGGGAGCACAGGAGCCCCAGUGCAGUUGGAACAAGGAGCUGGGGGUCAAGCUGAGGCAGAUCUCCUGGGGAGGUAUCCAGAAGUGUCCCAGAGAGGCCCCCCUGUGGAGGCGGGGAUCAGGGGGCAGACCUGUCCUCCCAGGAGGUCUCGGAACAGGAGGCAAGUGCCUGGAACCAAGGACUUCAGUGACAGCCAGAGGCCUGGAGGAGCAGAUGGCAGAUGAGUCCAGGGGAGAAACCAGCUCCACCAGGGCCCCCCCACGUACCCCACAGCAGGGAGAACGCCCCCAGAGUACACACACGCACACCCUCCACACAGCCUCCCCAAGCCAGGGUUGCCCCUCACUCCCCAUAACUCUCUCCUUGAUUUAUUUUUAAAGGUGAGAAGAAGGUGGGUCGGUGAGAUUUCAUAGGCCUCUCACCUCCGUAAACCGAGGCGACAGCUUCCCCAUUUAGCCACACUAGGGUCCCCCGCUGUUCAGCUGCAGCUGCAGUCGGUGACCGUUUUCAUUUCAAAAGGGAGUGUCCUUUACCGAAAUCAGAUAGAUUUCGCAAGGGAAACCCCACACUACAGAGUUAUUCAAUGGCACAGACUCCUACUGGCAUAUACCCUGACCCCCUCCCCCACCCCCAAAAAAACCCCAGAGAGUCAGAUCAGGGCCCGUGUGCCCUCUGAGCUGAGGAAGUCCCAUCCCGGCAAGUGCGUCCCCACUCAGGGGCUCACUUCCGUCAUCUUUAACUGUGAUUCUAGGCCGGCGCUUAGAAGUGUCUUCCAAAAACACCACAUCAUCGAACUUCCUUCCCAUUUUCGUGCCUGUGAAUCUCUAUGACAUGUAAUUAAAAGUCACGUCUCACAAAUUGUAAUCCGUUUCUUUCCGUGGCGCAUACAUUGAACGCCCGCGACGCGUGUAGCAUUUCAUGUGAUUUGCAGCGAUUUCUCAGAAGCCCUUGUCAAUUCCUCGGAAGCCCUUGUCAAUUCCUCAAUCGUUUGUCAACAGCCAGCAGCGAACAACUGACAGAGUCCCUGUAAAGGCUUCUUUCGAGAAUGACACAGCUCCGGGACCCCCGCCUCAAACCAGGGGAGGGGGAGGCCCUGCAAAAAGUGGUUAUUUGGUGCAACUGCCCCUGUUUAAAAGAAGUGGAAACUGAGGCCCCGAGAGAUGAAACUCGUUGGCCAUACGCAUGUUCCGAAGUGGCACCAUGAUCCUGGAUUUGUGGCUCACUAGCCGGCGACACUGUAAACUGGGAGGAGCUGAGCUAAAAACGGUUGGCUGGAAUGGACUCCUUGAAUCUUGAAACCCAAUGAGAGUCUGCGCAUUUAGCAAGUGCACCAAGUGAUUCUGAUACUCAGGACGGGGUGAACGCCAGAACUCAGACAUGGAGCUGCUCAUGACACUUGCCUGGGACAGAUUUUUGGCCCGAACCAUCCGCUUCACUUCUUUUUGUCAUGUUUUGUGGUGUCAACACAGCAAAACUGUUGAGAGAUUCGGAGGUUCCACAGAGAGCUCUGAUCGCGCGCCAGAAUCACCCGUGCCACCUGGGGACAGAAAACUCCCAGAUACCCUGAACAGAGAAUUUAAAAAAAAAAACAGUUUUGUCGAGGUCUCAUAUAAAACAAACUCACGUGUUUCAGACGUACAGCGUGACGCUUUUUGGUAUAUAUACACACUCCCGUGGAGCCACCGCAGCCGCUGUGGCCUGAAUGUGUGUGUCGCUCAGAUUCACAUGUUGAAAUCUAAACCCCCAAGGUGAUGAUGGUGUUAGAAAUGGAGGGUACGUAGGUCCUGGGAUUGGUGCCCUCAUAAAAGCGACCCCAGAGAACAGGCUGGCUUUCCUCCCACCAUGUGAGGGUACAAGGACGGGGCAGCCAUCUGCACCUGGGACGAGAGGCCUCACCUGAACCCGACCACGCUGGCAUCCUGAUCUUGGACUUCCAGCCUCCAAACGGGAAGAAGAAACACCUUCCUGUUGUUUAUAAGAGGCCCAGUCUGUGGCAGCCUGGGCCAAACAGGACACCGGAGAUUCUGGGAAAGUGGAGGCGGUGGGUGUGACCCAGGCCUGUCCCACGCCGGACGCAGGAGAGUGAAACAAACACGUUUCUCCCUAACGACACGUCUCUUUCAAAGAGCAGAAAUUUAUAGAUUGUGCUUUUCUUGUAGCUAAGAAUGCUUUGCCUAAAUUAAGAUUGACAAAGAUAUUCCUCUCAUGUUUCUUCCAGAAGUUUUAUACUUCUAGGUUUGUUAUGUAGGUUUACGAAAUAUUUUAAUUUCUGUAUGAGAUUUGGACUAAAGUUGUUUUUUUUUUCUCCCUCAUAUGGACAUAAGAUGUUUC